GGAAGUAAAAGUUGUAACAAGGUUUCCGUAGGUGAACCUGCGGAAGGAUCAUUAAAGUUAUAGUCCCCCGGCCCUCUGGGCUGGGGUCUUCUAUACCACCCUUUGUUUAUUACACCUUUGUUGCUUUGGCAGGCCUGCCCUCGGGCUGCUGGCUCCGGCCGGCUCGCGUCUGCCAGAGGACCUAAACUCAGUUUGUAUAUGAAGUCUGAGUACUGUAUAAUAGUUAAAACUUUCAACAGCGGAUCUCUUGGUUCUG
rnacentral:misc_RNA from 1 species